UACGUAGGGUGCAAGCGUUGUCCGGAAUUAUUGGGCGUAAAGAGCUCGUAGGCGGUCUGUCGCGUCUGCUGUGAAAACUCGGGGCUUAACCCCGGGCCUGCAGUGGGUACGGGCAGACUAGAGUGAUGUAGGGGAGACUGGAAUUCCAGGUGUAGCGGUGAAAUGCGUAGAUAUCUGGAGGAAUACCGGUGGCGAAGGCGGCAUCCUGGACCGACAUUGACGCUGAGGAGCGAAAGCUAGGGGAGCAAACGGG
rnacentral:rRNA from 1 species